AAUAAGGGAACAGAUGGCAGAAAUUUCCCAAGAGAGAAAAGAGAAUUACUAGAGAAGAUCAGGAUCAGACCUGCACAGGUGAUCAUGAAAUCGAAAUGCCUGAAAACUCAAUUUCUCAAGGUCGAUAUAAUCCAUGCCUAGAACUUUUCCUGAACAUUGGGCUUGCCUGGAGAUGACAUUGAAAAGUUCCCAUAUUACAGGCAGACAGCUGAAUGCCCUCGAGCUGAAAUUCAGGGAAAGUGGGGAAAAAAGGUUUGCCUUUGCCCAGCAGCACUGCAGGUGUCUGUCCCUCUGAAAGAGUCCCAGCGGUGUGGGCGUGCUGGAAAGAAAAAUCCCCAGUGACUUCACCCAGCUUGGCUUGUGGUGGUUACUCACAAUGAGGUUCUUGUCCUGAUUUCUCUCCAGCCUUUUUCCACUGCUAUUACAGCUCUGGUAUCCUAUAGCAAGUAAGAACAUAACAUUACAACUGUUCACACGUGGGAGAUGGAGGAACUGCAUUAAGAGCCAAUCAGAUAGGAAGUGAAGUAUCGGAUAUGGACAGAUUGCAAGUUACAGCUGAAGGUGGUGUGACAACUUUAUUGCUGUUGCAUGGGUGACAUGUUGUCUUCGAUUGGGAAAUAGGCUGUGGACUUCCAGAAAGAUAACUUCUGAUCAGCUACCUGCCACCUAGGUUCAUCUCAAAGACUUAGACAUGAAGAGAAGACAAACCAUAAUUUUUGCAGAAUAUGAUCCUGGCAUGUGGAGGGAUCAAGCACCUUUGCAGGCAAUGAUAUACAGAGCAAAAGCAGAUCAUUAGCUUCAUAAAUGAAUCAGGUUAUUGUGAAAAGAAGAACAGAAUAAUGAUAUUGUAAAAUACGAAACAACCUGGUUCUGCGUUUUAAACACUGACCUCAGGAGAAGCGCUGCAGGAUGAAAGAGUUAUUUUGUGCCUGGACACAUUAAGUCACUUGGGACAAAUUGCUACAGUCUCUCAGUUAUCAGUUAAGUCCUUGUGUUCUGGUGAAAUCAGUGGAGCCUGUUUUCACUGGUGUAAUAUCUGAGCCAUCAAGUUUAAUGAAUCAUUACAAAUAGUUUAAUCUGCACUUGCAGGUGCUAUUAAAACUAGUUUUGGUUUGGUUUUUUUUGCCAAGAGAAUUUUUUUUACCUGGGAAGAGCAGUCUUUCUCAGUCACAAUGGUUUAAAUAUGGAGUAGUGGGAUAGGUUUUGCUCAUUAGAAAGUCUGAUGCUGAAUUUGAUAUUCCCUUCUGCUAAACUUACCUCCUCCAGGAUUUAAGACUCUAAGUUGCAGAGGAUAAAACAUAAGGCCCUGGUUAAUUGCAAAUAAAUAGUGCCAGAAAAACAUACAGAUGGUACCUGAAGUUCAUUUUUGAAGACUAUCCAGUAAACUAUAUAUAAUUUACAUGAAAACUAUGUAGAGUAAGCAGGAGAACAACUUUUUUGUGGUUUCUUACAUUUGUAAAACAACAAAACAACAAAAAAAGAAAUAACAAAUGAAUACCCUCAGUCAGUGAAACUUCUUGUUUAGGAAAACAGCAACCUGUAUUUCUAUUUAUUUACCUAAUCAAAUUAAUUAAUUUAACAACUCUAAAAAUGUCAGCAUUUUACAGGAUACAGGUAUAAAUAUCUGGCAAGUAGAGUGUAUAUAUUAAACUACAUCUACUUAGCUAGUAAAUAUUUUGCUGCAUUAGUUUGCUCAUUCCUAAGCAAUCAGUUGUGAACUCCAGUGUUGUAACGGGUCCAUAGGGAACAUUUGUGCUUUGGUUGGCACUUAGAUUAAAUUCAUCAAAUUAUUUUUUUCCCUGUUCAACGCUGACAUUUCAGAAUGUUUUUUUUAAAAGGUUUUGUGCCAACUGCCAAAGUCAAUUAAUUAAAUAGUAAAUCUGAAAUUUGUAGGGGAAAACUAUCAUUCCCUUUUGCUGUGCGACCUUGGAAAUGUGCACGUUUAAUCCACAAAACACAUGGCUUACCAGAGGGUCCUGAUCUACUUGCACUGAAAGUAAAAGCAAAGCUUGCUGAGAUUUUUUGUGAGAUUAAGGAUUACCUCAAGGAUGGCAUUUUACCCUGCAUUUUCCUUCUCAUUUUGAUACUUGGUAGUAAUGACAAUAUCUUUUGAAGUCCUGCUAUGCUUGAGAGCUAAAAUUUUUCAGCACAAACACUGGAAGCAACACAAAUUUAUGGACUCAUUUUCCAUAUAUUUGAGAUACCCCAGAUGAGGGUAUGAUGUGCAGUCCCAGAAUUUGCUGGCCGAAGAACUCCCUCUUAGAUCUGUAAAGGAAAUCUAGAGACAAAAUUCGAUAGACCUGAGCAGAUGGUGAUCAUAUUCCUACAUAGCAGAAGUAUUACAAAUCUCUUCCCAAAACACACACUUUCCAAGGAGUGUGUAUACCCUCAUUGUCAGCAAAGGCAGUCUGGUUCCAAAGAUUAGACUGGAUCUUGCUUUUCUGCCUACUUGUAUGUCUCUUUUUGUACAUCUCAGUGAAAUCCUCAUAUUUUAUUUGAAGCUUUAUCAUCUCAAGGUGCUUGGAAAUGAGAACAGUGCACUGACUGUUCUUCAGCUGUUAGUUCUCUGUCAUUAGUUUAUAUUGAUUUGUAUUUGUUUAUUUUUUCCCUGCCUGAAAACUGUGGCGCAGAUCAGAACUCUGUAUUUGAGGCCCUGUAUAUGCAUGGACUAGAAACACAGCCCAACAAAAAUGUAAGAGACAGUAAAAGUAGUGCUAGGAUAGAUGGGUUAAGGCAGACCAGAUACAUGACCUGGUACUCCUAUCCCUUUGCCAUUUGCAAUUGUCUCAUUCUGUGUUUUGCUAUAAUUUUAAGUUCAGGAUUUGUUUUCGGCCUUCUUACUCCCCAUUUGUUUCAAGAAAGUACAUGUCUUUUCUUUAGGAAGAUAAGAUGUCUAAAGAGAGUGGCUUCCAGCACAUUCAGAAAUUCAUUAGGAUUUGGUCCCUCAUUUGACAGCAUAGCAUGAGGGGGCCUAGAGUUCAAGGAAAGGUACUGGUUAGCACUCAGUAGCAGGGAAAAAUGGUGACAAAUGCUAGUGCCAAGAGUGUUUCUCAAAUACCACACUUGUGGGAGUGAAGGCACAAUGGGUAGCAAGAUACAGGAAGCUAAUUCCUAGGAUUCAUAACCUUAUAUGUUCUCCUACCACUGUGCUUUAUAUAGUGAACAUAUACCAGUUCUUUUUAUCAAAGCCUGUACUGCAAUUCUUGGAAUUGUCCUGCCUGCCCAGAUAGAUGCCAUUUUGCAGAAAGGAAAUCUGAUGUCUUACUGUUGAAAAAGUUGCUCCUUGUGAAAGAGAUUACUGACUAACCCUAACCCUAAUCCUAAACCCUAACCCUAACCUAACCCUGACCCUAACACUAACCCUAACCCCAAACCAUAACCCUUACUCCUAAUCCUAACCUAACCCCAACCCCAACCCCAACCUUAGCCCUAAACCCUAGCCCUAAACCCUAACUCUAACCCUAACCCUAACCCUAUUUAUAAUAUCAAAAAAAUAUACCAAUUCUUUCUAUCAAAGCCUGUACUACAAUUCUUGGAAUUGUCUUGCCUGUCCAGAUAUAGGCCAAUUUGCAGUAAGGAAAUCUGAUGUUUUCCUGUUGAAAAUGUUCCUCCUUGUGAAAGAGUCUUACAAUUAUGGUGGCCCAGACGGACCAAGUCACCUCUGUAUGAGCAGAAGUGGGAGUUCUUCAGCUCUGCUUUUCUGAGAUACUAUUGCUGUAUUUAAUCUUGGGGAUAUUUGAUGUAAAACAUUGGCAAGAAUGCCUUCAGGAAGAAGAUAAAUUAAGGAUGCCAAGUUGUGGACAAUGUUUGGAGUCAAAGCUUUUGGGAUUCUUGGGUUCUUUAUACUGUAAAAUGGAUGUUUUUCUAUCUAUGUCUAGAAGGAAAAUCACUGAGAUGACUAGGGAAACUUUGGUCUUAACACUUGAAGAACUUCAGAUGGUGCAAAGGCUAAGCAGUAGACGAGGGAAAAUUUAGAAUAUUGAAUUAAAUACUAUUGGAGGCAUCUAAAGUCCUGGGUUGGGUCUAAAACUCAGCUGAUAUGUGUCUAAAUUUCCUUUCUGGAGGAUGGAUUUGUUAUUUAUCUCAGGGCAAUGUUGGGCAGGGAAAUGUGUCAGUUAUUAUUACAGUUAUUAUUACAGUAAUAACUGUACCAUGUAUGGACUUGGAGAGAUAGAAAAGCAUUUUAAAUGGUUUGUAAAAUUUGGUAGAGAACAAAUCUCAUGAAUGUUUCUAGGUGAUCACUAGAUUAUUAAGUUGUCCUUAACCAAUGGUGGUUAUCUACAUAGUUUCUGUGCAAAAUGCCUGUAUCUCCCUGUGAUAAGUGAAUCCAGUUUUACAAGAGAUAAUUAAACACGAAAGAACUAAACAUCCUAGUUUUUUUCCCCUAAUGUUGUAUCUCAGCAUUGUCUCCAUCAGUAGCCUUGUCCGCAGGAAGUGUAAAGUUUCCUGCUAUGACAGUUUGACUGCUGCCAAUUAUCAGAUCUGCUUUUGGCAGCUUUCCCUCCCAACCUGCUGAUUAGCUAAUGUGUGGUUACUAAUACAAUAUGGGAAACUGGUGUAAAUGAAGAAGCAAAAGUUUAUUAAUUUCAUGUGCUAAUUACUGUUUGUAAUAUAAUCAUCAAUACUGCGAGAAGAAAGCCUGGCUUAAGAAAUAAUCAGGUUUCUAUGUCUUGUGAAAUGAGGCACAAGAAUUUUGUGCAGUAAACAGGCAUAUUUUCCCCUUGAUACAUGCACAUAAUUUUCAUUAGAUUCAUAGGUUUCAAAGGUAGAAGUGAGAUCAUUAGAGCUUGGAAUCUAAGUACCUGUACAACACAGGCUAGAGAAUUUCAUCCAGCUACUCUAUAUCUGAGUUAAUAGAAAAGAGGAGCCAUAUCCUGCACUGGAUUUACAGCAGUUUUACUCCACUAAACUGGAAUAAUGGUGAUUUAUACCAGCUGAGAAAUUGGCAGUAGACUUAAAUGACAAUGGAUUCUUUUUGCAUAAACCUAAAUGAAAAUGGUCACUUAUAUUUUAAUAGCUGUGUUGAAAGAGCCUCGCUGGGAGUGAGUUUUUGAAAAGUAUUUUAAACUUUAGAAGAAAAUGAGGGCUUUUCCAAACCUUUAUGGGAUGAUUGUGUUCCCUGUUGUAAUUUAAACUUGUCCCUUCACUGAAGAAAAGACAUAAAUUUAGCAGAAAAAAAAUUUCUCUUUAAAUUGAAACCUGUGCCAAAAUUCUUAUUUGUAAUUAAAUCAGGCUCUAGGAUUUUAGUGGGGGGAAGGAAGAACAAAAUAAUAUAAUAAAAAGCUGAAUAUUCUCAGAGCCAAGAGGAACUUAAAUGUUCAAAGAUUAAAAGUCUCAAGAGCUAAAAAGUAGUCUGUGAUUUCUUUCAUUCAGUUGUAUAUCUGGUAAAACAAGAUGCCUCAUUACUCUUUUGUAGCCAUCUGCAUGUGCAUGUGGAUGAUGUUAUUAUAUUUAUAGCAGAUACAGUCUUAUCAUUUAGGUACAGACAGAAUCCUACCUGCUCAGAGCUACAGGGAACGCACUCAGACAAUAUUGAUAUAGACAAUGCCAUAACAUCCUGCAAUCUGCACAGAAACUGAGACUUUGUGAGGACCAAAGCUGAAGAAAAGAAUUUCCUUCCUGCUCUCCUAAAAUGAGAGUGUUUAAAGGAAAAUACCAGUGUGGGGAGAAUAUCCUUCAGAUUCCCAACAAAUUUCUGUCAGUUCUAUCUCAGGAGGAGGCUGUGAAGGCUUUUGUGUUUAGUGAUACAGAAAUCUGUGACUAUCAUAUAAACAUGUAGAAUAUAUAGAAAGAAAGACAUCUUCUUAUUAGAGUAGCUGCUUAUGUAGACAGUAAGCAGAGAGAACCUUGUCUCAUAAUAUUCCCAUUCUCAUUGAUAAUAAAUCAGCUGCUGGUUUGGCUGAUGAGCAGUUUGAGGUGCUUUAUAUUUGCUGAAGAAAACCUGGACAGGAUACACAUUUUAAACCUAAACAGAAUACACAUUUUAAUAUGUUUACCAUACUUUUUCCCCUGAGUGUUUUUCUUCAGAGAUGGAAGUCUGCCUCAACAUGUCACAGUAUAUUUUGAUGGCACUGUCACAUGGAGAAAAAACUGAUAAUUUACUGCACAGGUAAACAUCAGAAGACAUGGUCUGAAGCUUACAAAUCAACCCAAACUUUCUCUCUCUUUCUUUACUUUAAGCAGGACUAGAAGAGCCAAUCCCUCCUUGAAAAGCAGGGUUCCUUUUUGUCCCUUAUCCAGAAAGAUUCAAGUGUUCCCCAUCCUUUAGGAUUGUCAGGUAACUCCAUCCUACCACUAAGUAUUUGGUAACAUCACACUUGCCUACAAAGUUUGUAGCAACAUCACAUCCUUCAGUCUGUUGCAGACAUCUGUCUCAUGAGGAACACGCAGCUGCUGGACUGCUCUUCCCACUAUGUCUAGACCCAAAGUUCAUUCAGCAGUCUGUAAGAAAACUGAGAAAAAAUAACUGAUAGUCUGUUUUAUGCAGCCAGGCAAGACCAAACAGCUAUCAAUGCAAUCUUGAAUACUCUCCCUUUAUGAACAUCAGACUGUUAGCUUAUGUUAGAUACUACUGUAAAAUGAAUCCUGAGGGGUGAAACACUUGGAACAGUGGCUUGUGAAGGAGAGCAACCCUUCAAAGCACUGUACCAAGUUUGGUGAUGUACUGCAGCAUGUAGAGGCCACUGCUCCUUCUCAUCCUGCCUCAUUAUUGUGUCUUCUCCCCAAAGGUGUGUGUAGAGUGUGUCAGCAUAUUGCCACUGUGAUACAAGAAGAGACAAGACAAAACGUGAGUGCCUUGCAGAAGCCAGGUAAGAGAGGCUCUGACUGAGGUCUGAACUGCAAUAUUGUGUAAUUGUAUAUUACUCGUUAUGAGCCUGUGUUUAUUGCUUGGUUCAGUCCUACAGUUCUCAGACCACUACACUGACUUCCAGGAAUCUUUAAAAACAUUGUUUUCCAAGAGCUGAAGUUAGGCUAUUGUCAUAGAAAAAAUAGCUGUGGUUUAUGGUCUUGUCAAAUUAAGUUCAGCUUCAGUAAAUAUGACAUGAAAUCUGUACAGUACAGCCUCACCAGUGAAUAAAAAGGCUUAUGCAACCUAGUCAUAUAUAAAUACCAGUAAUAUAAAAUUCUGACAAUUGUAAGAGAAUUUCAUUCACAGAAGCUUUGUACUUUCAGCCUGGUGAAAAAACAUCAGUCUGUAUAUAGUUCCAUAUUGUCAUUUGCUGGUGCAGUACUUCCUUCCCUCACUAAAAUUAAAAUUUAAAAGACUUCCACUUUUGGGGAAAAGAGCAUCAUUGAUGAGAAAUUCUCCCCGGUAAAUUAAUAGAUAAGGUCUCCCAUGCUAACUCAAAAAAGCAAGCAAAAGGUAAAAAUUGAAUCUCUUUAUCACAGUUGAGUCAUUUUUCUAAACUGGGGAAGUAAUAUGGGAUGGAAUAUAUAGGAUGGAUUCUCUUACAGAAAGUGUUUUUAAACUUUAAAAGAUCCAUAACUAAUAUUGGGAAUGGUUAUAAAUGACAGUCUUCUCUUUUAGAUUAUGUUGCAUUUAUUACAUUCUACCAGGACGUUAUGGAGACUCUCAAGGAAUUAAAGUCAUAUUUAUGAUAAAAAUAUGGUGCUGCUUCUAAAUAGCAUUUUCAUCAUAUUAACUGUUGCCUAGAUAACAGGCAUAUCUCCUUGAGCACCUCUAUUCUGGUUUAGCACUACAGCUUGCAAAUUAAUACAGUCAUUAUAAGACAGCAAAGCUAUAUCACUUACCAUUUCAUUAUUGUUCAAGUCGAAAUCCAUAUUUUUUCAGUUUUCCCUAGGGUUACAAACUGGAUAGGGAAAUGUUAUCAUCUUUCAGAAUAACCUCUCAAGACUCCUCUCUUUGGUGUUAAGAGGAGCCGUUAAUCCUAUUACAAUAAUUUUCAUAUUAAUAGGUCCCAUGUAAAGACAGAGUUAAUGCUCUCCUACAUUCAAUCCUCCAAUAUAGUUUUUUUUAUAUAUAUAUGCUCAAAUAUAUAUAUAUAAAUAUAUAUAUAUAUAAAAAUACAUGUAUAUAUUUAAAUCUGCUUGGAACUAGAUUAGCACAAAAGAUAUCACGUCCUACUCAGUAUAUAAAUCAGGGUCAAAUCAACAGCAAACCCUUAAAUUUUUAAUCAAAAUGGCAAUCUGUCAUCCUUAAGAGAGUUAAGUAAUGUUUAAGUGAAUAACAUGAAUAUGUUUUAAUGGAAAAUACAUGGGAGAACUUACUGCAGCACAGAGAAAACAUUCCAUGGAGUAUCUAGAAGAUACAUUAGUCCUUACAUGAGAAGCUGUGAUGCUAGCAUGCAUAUCCACUCUAAAUUAAAAAUCAUCUUUAGACUUGAAUUUUUUUUUUUUGAGGACUCAAUACACCUUUUAUUUUUGUGAUCUUCUCAGACACUAUAAUUUUCUGAAAGCCUCUCAUACAAUGUUGUACAUUUAAUAAUGUAAUGUUACUUAAACUCAGGGCAUUUUCUGAUAUUUUUCCUUUUUUCAAGUCUGCUGACCUGAGUGAUGUGGUCUGCUCAGAAGAAGUUGAGUGUGAAUUUAAGAAGCUGUCCAAGGGGUCAGAUGUUUGCCUAAUUUUGAGUAGUCUGCAUGUGAAACAAAGGCGGGUCAGAUCUGCAGAGACAUGAGGGUGACCCAGCUCUGUCCCUGCUCUGCCCUGGCUCUCUGGGAAGCCGGUCUGUGUGGGAGCCUGAGCGCUGUGCUGGCGUUGCAGAUAAUGAGCCCCAUGGAGAGCAGAAUCGAGCUCUGGGACACAAUGCUGACUUAAUGUGGCAGUUUGGCUCCUAAAGCCAGUCAGCUUAGCCCAGGAAGGAGCCCGUCGCCCCUUCCUCGGCAGUGUGGGAAGAUGCUCCCUUGGUAAACCUUCACUUGCUCUCAGCAUCCGCUGUCCUUUUGCUAAGCCCUUUUACUGUAAUGAUGCCAUCUCUCUCAACGUCCUUCAUUAUUCUCCUCUCUGUCUUUCCCAGGGGGUCUGAUUAAAAUCAGUGGAAAGCUCUCUUGGGUUUUACUGGCUUUGGUACUCUGGCUCUGCUCCUUAAUUUGCCUUUCUUUUCCGUUUUUAACUGCUUUCUGUUUAGGCUCACUUCUACUGUGUUCUAAACAUCCCUCAUCUUUCCCCACUUUUGUAUUUUUGUACUUUUAUUCCUAUUCCUGACCUGCUCGACAACUGUUAAAUUACUUAGGCAGUGAGUAAAAUGCAGAUUAAAGAAGUGCUUUCGGCUUUGAGCUAAAAUGUGUUGACAGGACUCAUAAGAGGCCUAGAGGAGACAUGGGAGAGUGGCAUCAUUUUGGGAGAAGAGAAGCUAGAAAAAUUACUCACAUCAGAUCUGAGGUCUCACCAUGAUUCUGUGGCUGCGCUCCUGGCUGCCGUAAUGAGGUUGUGAAUCCACUAUGAUUCCACAGUGUGUAGAAAUAGUUUUAAUUGGUGAUAAUUUUAACACUUGUUUAACAAAAUUUAAGGCAUCUGGAAUGGGGUUCUAUCCACACUAUACUGGUGCAAAUCAAAAGUAAUGUUAUUCAAACUUAUGUUCUUCUAGAAUAGCAGCACAUUAACAGAAAUCAGAUUUUAAAGCACUCCUGAAUUUCAGAUAUUAUACUGUAUUUCCAUUUAUAACCUGACAUAAUUCCCACACAGCAUAUGGUAUUAAUCUGGUGUAAACACCAUGUUAUGAUGGUACUCAAACACAUACAGCUGACAUGAAAAUGUCUUCAAGUACAAUAUUUCCAAAAGCAAUUAUGUCUAUAUGGUUGGUAGCUAGUUAGCUUGUGUGAAGUUUUAUUUCUUGUUCUUACAUACAUGAAGGUUCACAGGAUGAAACUUUAUGUAUAAAAAAGGAGAUAUUUUCACUGUUUGCAGAAAAGUAAGAAAAAAUUGUUACAAUCUACUUAUUUUGGCCUGUCCAGCUUUUGUAAGGAAAUCUCACCUACAUGUGAACACAAGAUUUUUACAGUGUUGGAAUUUCCUUUUGUUUGCAUUAGAGGGUACAUAUAUAGAUGACUGCAAGGAAUACAGUGACACAAAAUGAAACUCACUAUAUUUCUGUUAGAGAAAAUGAACUCCAAAAUAAAUAUUUAGCAACAUUUUGCAAUUCUCAGAGAAGGUAAUACUCUUGAUGUGUGAAUGCCCCAGACAUCAAUCUCUGCUGGUAAGCAAGCAUUUUUCAAUGUUCUCUGAUGAGAGGGGUGGGAGACCAGCACCCCUUGUCCAGGUAGAUGCCUGUGUGAAAUCCUUAAAAAAAUUGCCUAAGAUUAGUGUUGUGCCAAUUGUUUUGUCAAAAGGAGAUAAAGAAAAGCAUGUCUUUUGGAAAGUAAAUGCUUGUGGAUGCAUGAACACUUGCCAGUAGGGCCAGAUUCACAGGUAAUGUAACUUUUCUAGUGUCAUCUCACCCAUUUGAGAUAAAUUCAUUUAUUAGGAUGAAGUGUAGCUUUUUCAGAUGGCUUCUAGCUCCACCUGCUACCUAGCCUUUCCUAGUCCUUUUUUUUCCUCCUGAGGAUCCUUUCCUAAAUAUGUUCCUAAGACAAAAUAAGUCACCCUCAGUAUCACAUUCUCAUGACAGAAAGGAACUGCUAGAAACUGCUUAACAACCAGCUCUGCACUCGUUAGCUUCAGUAUAAAUCUGCAAUGACUUUAUUUUUAUUACUUCAUACUGGCACUACAGUGAAUAACAGUAGGCUAAGCUGUUGAUGGCAUGAUAUUAAAAUGAGCGUUUCCAGCUCAUCGCUAUUAUCCAACAUAAUAUCUUAGUUUUAAAAGAGACAGCAAUUUGCAAUGGGACAAGAAUAAAUCUGGAAUAACUCCACUGAAAAUUUACACCAGUGUGACCAAGAAUUGAAUUUGGCCCACUCUGUUGAAUUCCUUUUAAUGGUUUUUGCACGUUCAAGCAUCCACCAGAGAUUAGAUGGGAGGCAGCAGACUUGCUGUUAUCUGCGAUCCAAGCAGGACACCCGGGGUGAAAGGGUAACGCAUUAUCACACUGCGCCACCUGGCCCAUCCAACACAAUUUGAGCAACCAUAAUUGUAUUGAUUACUUCUUGUGCUCAUGACUAAUGACCUCUAGCUGCAACCUUGCAUUUUCUAAAUCUUUUAUAUUCUGAUUUAAUAAUAAGAUUUGAUUAAAAAUUGCCAUUAGCCAAUGCCAAUGAUUAGUCAGCAAGACUCAGUGCUGCCAAGUUCCAAUGAGUUUCAUUAUUCUGGAAUUAAAAAGCACAGAGAACUUCUCUUGGUUAAUAAUACAAUGAUUCCGUCUCAAUCAGGAAUGAAAGAAAACAGCUCUAAUAUAUAAAUGCAGCAAAAUGUGUGGCUAUUACUAAUAGCCACAAUUUACAGAGAAGUGUUUGAAGAAUUAAAGGGACUUUGUCACAGAUGGUGUGGACAGUUUGCUUUUACUUUUUAUAUUUGAUUGGAAAGGCAGUGUCAGAUGGUGUGUGAGGGGGCAUUUUCCUAAGGAAAGACAUUUCCUUUGGUGCAACAAGAACAUGGGCCUUAUUCAAUUUCUCCAUGAGCAUCCCUGCCACAAAAAAACAAGGCAAAGUGUAUGUUGGCAAAAAUGAAUUGUGAUGGCUUUAGAAAAUGACAAGAUGUUUGUCCAGGUUAUUUACCUCCUGAUAAUAUAUUUAACUAUGUGGUUUUUUUCAUUUUUUAAAAAUAUGACUUAUUAUUUAAACAAAAGAACAUAUUGUCACAUCUUUCACAGAAAAUAAAGAAGUAUUCCAUCUUCUUUCAAGAAGGUAGGAUAUUUAAACACAUACUAAUUUUUAGACAUGUAGCUAAAUCCUGAAGAGUGUUAGGCUAAGGAGGGACUUAAGCAUACAUCUAAGAGAUCUGCUGGAUCUGAAUUGAGGUGUUUCUGUAUUUGGGGUGCACUAGAGGAGAUGCUCUGCGGGGUAAACAUCUGCUAUGGGAUGUGAUGUUCCCUCUGAUCCCACUGAAGCUAAUUGAGGACUGGGUGACAUUGAAGUCAGUGAGAGCUGAGAGCACUCAGCACCUUUCAGGUUCAGGUCUCUAAAUAAUAAAAGACUCUUGAGACACUGUAAAAGCAUUUACUGCCUAUCACACAGGAGCAGAAAAGCUGUCCUGUCUCACUGUCAUCCUCCAGAAAACAUGCCAUGUCCCAAACGUGAGUCCUGUAAGAUUUUUAAGGUAUUUGAAUAAAGAAAUACCUUUUUAAAAUACUGCACACAUAAAAUCUUGUAUUGGGUUUGCAUGGCAAGCUUUUGGUAGAGGGGGAGGCUACAGGGGUGGCUUGUGUGAGAAGCUGCCACAAGCUUCCCUGUGUCCGGCAGAGCCAAUGACAGGUCUCUCCAAGAUAGACCCACUGCUGACCAAGGCUGAGCUCAUCAGUGAUGAUGGUGGAGCCUCAGGGAUGACAUGGUCAAGAAUUGGGAGAAAACCCCACCAAACUGGGGUGCAACAGCUGCUGGAGGAAGGAGUGAGAAUAUGUGAGAGGAGCAACCCAACAUUUCCCAAGACACCAGGUAAAAGCGAUCGGCAUCUCCCUCUCUGCUCCCCACCUUGAGGUUGUUGCAGACAGCGAUGUGGUCACCGCUCAGUCUCGUCUUUUCUAAGCUGAACAAACCUAGGAUCCUCAACCAAUCCUCAAAGCUCUUCUGCUGUUUGUCCUUUGGAAUACAGAGAAAACCAGCUAGAGCCCCAAAAUGGCUUUUUGCACCUGCCCGCUGCCUCUCCCUCUCUUCCAGCUGGGCAGAUCUACUAUCAACAGUAUAUCCUUUUGUAUUAACAAUAUCACACUCACUAUAAGGAAAGAAAAUAUCUCCAUAACAAGGAAAAAGUCCCAACAGGCCAACCAACCAAAUAAAAAUUGAGGGUCUUGAGUCUAGUGUAAGCCUCAUAAAUCGUUUUUCAUGUAUUUUGUUUUUUCUUAUUUAGAAAGGUUAGGACAAUAGUUUCCCUUCAGAAAAUGUUUGCUAUCAAAUAAUAUGAGAUACUGAGUUAUUUCCUUGUCUGAAACCACAAUUCAUGGUGUCCAAUAUGAUUUUGCUUGUCCUUUUAAAUGAUUGCAGGUUACAAGCUAUCAAUAGUGCACUUCCUUGUAAAAGACAGUUUAGCUUCAGUAUCAGGUUUAUCACUGUCUUGUGUCUGAAUAGUCACUGGCAAUAGUCAGGCCAGAAUGACAGCAAUGCUAUGCUUGGUUGAAAUAUGCAGGAUGUUCCCACGUAUGGAGCUAAGUUAUUCUUUUAACAGGUGAAAGUGAAUUCUGUGGUAUAAACAAAAAAACCCAUGAGCUUCACAGAGGUGAUACACCAUAAGCUCAGAGGCUGGUGAGCCUGGCUCUCAGCUGGCAUAAAAAUGAAAGAAUUACUGUCUCAAAUCAGCAUAAAGAGCUGAAGUGAGGCAGAGGCAAAUUAGAAGAGUGUGGAAAUGGGAAUUGCCUUACUGCUGUGACAGUAAUUUACCUGCACUGCAGCUAACUUACAAAAACAGGAUGUCAGCACCCCAUGUGAAUGAAGAUGCUCAUCUCUACAAGGGCAAAGCACAGUGUCUACUUGAGGCAGGAGUGGGAAAAACUAUGAGCUGCCUAUAUCUUACCACAUGACUUUCAGCUGAAAUGCUUUCUGCUCCAGAAGAAGCUCCUUGGUUUAGAAGACUUAUUAUUUUCUUGUGUCUCUAUCUGAGUGGUUGUUGAGGUGACAGACUUUAUGUCCAUUCUACUACAGAGGAACUAGGAACAAAAGAGUUGACACUGUAGCCCAGAGGAGGAAAACUCUGUAGAGGACAAAGAACAGUCAAUACAUAUCAGCAAUUUGAAGAAGAAGAUACCAAAUAAUUCCAUUGCCAAGCAGCCUCCGGUACAAGUUAGAUUACCCUGGAAAUAUGUGUGCAGUCUCUCUUUUCAGCAGGAUGUCCAUAACUGCAAGAGUGACCUGUAGUAUGGAUAAAUGAAGAAAGAAGCAAGGCUUUGACAGACUAUAUCCACUAAUGAAAGGUGGAUAAAUUCCGUCAAAAGUUCUGAGGAUUUGUACAGCACUUGCAUCCCUUUCUUUGGCUUGCUUCACCUUGCUUUUCCUUCCUUUCUAUCCAGAAGUCAAGCAAUUUAACAGAGGACGGAAUCACAAGAUCUACGCUGGAGUAACAAAAUAAGAGCAAAAGAUGUAUCUGAGCUCAAGGAACCAGAGGAGUUUAACUUUCUCCUCCAGUGGGAGCUCAACAUACGGAGGCUCAAUUUUUCAUGAUACUGCCCAGUGAUACUGAGGGAACUUCAUGACAGAUGACCCUGCUGCAGGAAGAUUCAUGUGUCUUGCUUGGCAUACACCACUCUGCCUGAACUGAUGACUCACAGACAGAGCUCUCCUUCAGAUUUCUCUCCUGGUCUACAAACAGAAAAUACUCAACUAUUACACUAAAUCUUUUUAAAGGCAUGUUUGACUGCUGAAAGACUGCUGAAGAAUCCCAUCUUCCCUGUGUGGAGAAGUCCAGAGGUGCUUUUCAUGGACAUCAUCUAUCCAGAGAAAAAUUUUACAGUGUUUCCCAUGUGAAGACGCUGAGGAGCAAAAGGCAGUGCUAUGUGAUACUGCUUCAAGUAUGUUCAUUGACCUGGUCAGAGGGGUGGAGCUACUGAAUAACCAUGGUGUGAAUAGCUACAGGAAGCCAGCAGAUCAAAGAGGUAUCCACUGUUUAAAAAGCUCUUAUCAUGAGAGAAAGAAGUGGAGAAUGGGGUCAAUUCUUAGAUGUCACUCCUGUUGAGAACACACAGUGAUGGAAGAGAAGGAAUCCUCUGGUGAAAGAAACCAAAAGGCUUUUAUUUUUUUUCUAUUGUAGGGUCUGCUCAAUGUUCUUUGUUCUCUGACAAAAUCAAAACUUUGUAUGGCAUCUUUUCUGUCCUCAAGCCUUAUAGGUCUAAAUUAUUUUAUUUUUAAUUGUUUAUUUUGGUACUGUGAAGCUUGGUGUCAAUCCAUUAGGUAUAAAAUUCUAAGAGUGUGCUCCCUCUGGAAGGAUGAAGCACAGUGUAUUUGUACAAAGAGUUUCAGUGUCUCGCCUCUCUAGGUUCACAUAUUCUCAGUCUUGUACCUUUUCUUUUGUAUAUGGGUGAAAAGGUGUGAGAAAAGAAACUGUGUUAAGUGAGAGAAUCUGUUAGUAAAUCCCCAGUAUAGCUGCACAAAAUGAUCAGCAGCUGUAACCCAAUUAAAUGUAGCAAUUUCACAGCACACUACUGCUCACCAGAGAGUAUAUACCGAUAUUCUCUGAGUAUUCAGCCAAGCCAUUUUGUACCAGUGCUUGCAAACUUCUCCUCAGGAAUAUUUACCAUUUGGCUAGAGCUCCUCAAACACAAAGGGAAGAUGAGAGGGAAGAGAAAAAGCAAAAGAACGUAGUGCAAGGAAAGCCAAUUAGGAAGUAAAUCCACUCUGUCUCUUGAACACAAAGUAAUUGCUUCACAGGUGUGCACAGAAAAAGUUGCAGUUACGCCAUAACUAGAAGGUUAACUAUUUAAAAGGUCUUCUCAAAGAACAUUUAGAUUAGGAGCCUUUCUUCAGUUCAAAGCUCCUGCUGCUGGUUUAUGAGUCCGAAGUGAGGAAGCAAGCUAUUCCUUGUUUAAUGUGGUCAUUUUAAUAGCUAAGCCAUUUCUAACUUUGCUUUUAUAGACAUCAUGGCUCCAGUGUCUGCUGAUCUGGAUGCUUUUUGCAUACCCAUAUAUGUGUGUAAUAAAAGUAUUUGGCUACCAGUUACUGGGGUGAGGAGAAAACACCCCCAAAAUACUCUUGCAAGGCUGAGGUUAUACAUUUCUUACCAACAUGUUCAGUAUAAGACAUGCAAAGAGACAUCUUUAGUCUAAUAAAUGUUUUACAAAACAAUCUAACAAUAUUCAUAUAAACUUCUGAUUAUAUGAAAGAAAAUUUUAAAACCAAUUUUGUUUAUUAAUUUCCUUUUCUAUUUGAAACUCUGUAUCUUACCUACAUUGAUGUAUUGUGGUUUUUGUCCUACUCAUCUGCAAGACAGUAUCAGGAAGGCUCAUCCAAAGUGUGAAAAGCAAGACUUCUACUUUUGUCAACUAGUGAAAGAGACCAUUUAAAGCCAUGUGUCUUCUCCUGUUCACAUCUCCUGCUGAAAUCACUUAUUGGCAAUCAUCUUGCAAACGUGGACUCAUAUGGAGGACCUUGUAAUAUUUGUGGAAAUUGCAAAUGUCUUCAUAAAGGAUAUAGACAAUAUUCUUCUGUGCUUACAGUCCCUUAUCAUACACUGUCUAGGACAGCAACUCUCUGCAAAGACAGAUCUUUAGCCUGUAGUUAUGUGGCAUGAUACCAUAUAUGAAGAAGAAGACAGAAGAAAAGAGCCCAGAUCACUGCAGAGUUCUGUUUUUCACUCUAGUUGUCUGAGGGAGGUGCAAAGUAGUAACGUCUUAAAUCCUGUCAGAGCCUUGAUUUCAUCAGUGGCACUUGGUUGUUGCUUAAUUAGCACACUUUAUGACAUUCUGAACACCACAUGGACCAGGAGUCACAAUCUUACAUAUGGGGUGAUGAAACACCAGUAGACAGAGGUUUCUGUCCUGAAUUUUGUUUCUGUAGUGUAUCCUUGUUCCAUAAUCACUCAUUUCUGUAAAUAAAUCACAUAACACUCACUUCCCAAUAAACUGUUAUUUACCAGCCUGA